rnacentral:rRNA from 1 species
AACGAACGCUGGCGGCAGGCUUAACACAUGCAAGUCGAACGCAUCCUUCGGGGUGAGUGGCAGACGGGUGAGUAACGCGUGGGAACGUGCCCUUCAGUUCGGGAUAACCCAGGGAAACUUGGGCUAAUACCGGAUACGUGCGAGAGCAGAAAGAUUUAUCGCUGAAGGAUCGGCCCGCGUCUGAUUAGCUAGUUGGUGGGGUAAUGGCCCACCAAGGCGACGAUCAGUAGCUGGUAUGAGAGGAUGAUCAGCCACAUUGGGACUGAGACACGGCCCAAACUGCUACGGGAGGCAGCAGUGGGGAAUAUCGGACAAUGGGCGCAAGCCUGAUCCAGCCAUGCCGCGUGAGUGAUGAAGGCCUUAGGGUUGUAAAGCUCUUUCGUCCGGGACGAUAAUGACGGUACCGGAAGAAGAAGCCCCGGCUAACUUCGUACCAGCCGCCGCAGUAA